rnacentral:lncRNA from 1 species
CGGCCGCGGCUGGGGCGCGUGAGUGAGCGCAGUAGGUCGUGGCUUCUUCCUGACAAUAGCUGCUUGCGUUCGGGUCUCUAAGUUGUGCACGGCGUAGAACGUCUGUCGUUACCUGGUGGUUACCGGCUAGCAGGAUGCUGUAUGGGUCGUCCAGGUCUCCAGAAUCAUCCUGCGAGGCAGCGGCGAGUACCUACUCGAUGCUUCCUGGAACCCAAGCGCCUUAGUUUGGAAUUACCGGGAGCAAAGGAUUGUCGAGUAAAGCUAGAUCUCCUCUCAGCCCUUGGUGCUUAACAUUACUCCCAGGUGCUUUUCUGCUCAAACCGCACCUGUUCCGUUAGCCUCUUCAGACUUGUGGAUAAGAGAACUUUUUAAUAAGAGGUGGAAUGCUUAGGAUGAUGCAAAGUGCGC